UGGGGAAUAUUGCACAAUGGGCGAAAGCCUGAUGCAGCAACGCCGCGUGAGUGAUGAAGGUCUUCGGAUUGUAAAGCUCUGUCUUUUGGGACGAUAAUGACGGUACCAAAGGAGGAAGCCACGGCUAACUACGUGCCAGCAGCCGCGGUAAUACGUAGGUGGCGAGCGUUGUCCGGAUUUACUGGGCGUAAAGGGUGCGUAGGCGGAUGUUUAAGUGAGAUGUGAAAUACCCGGGCUUAACUUGGGUGCUGCAUUUCAAACUGGAUAUCUAGAGUGCAGGAGAGGAGAAUGGAAUUCCUAGUGUAGCGGUGAAAUGCGUAGAGAUUAGGAAGAACACCAGUGGCGAAGGCGAUUCUCUGGACUGUAACUGACGCUGAGGCACGAAAGGCGUGGGUAGCAAACAGGAUUAGAUACCCUGGUAGUCCACGCCGUAAACGAUGAGUACUAGGUGUAGGAGGUAUCGACCCCUUCUGUGCCGCAGUAAACAC
rnacentral:rRNA from 1 species